AGUUCGAUUAUGGCUCAGAUUGAACUUUUGGCGGGAUUGCUUUACAUGCAAGUCCGACAGCAGCACGGACUUCGGUCUGGUGGCGAGUGGCGGUAGGUAGAGUAAUGUAUCGGAACGUGCCUAGUAGCCCGGGGAUAACUACGCGAAAGCGUAGCUAAUGCCACAUACGCCUUCGAAGCGGGGACCUUCGGGCCUCGCACUAUUAGAGCAGCCGAUAUCGGAUUAGCUAGUUGGUGGGGUAACGGCUCACCAGGGGCGACGAUCCGUAGCUGGUUUGAGAGGACGACCAGCCACACUGGGACUGAGACACUCCUACGGGAGGCGGCAGUGGGGAAUUUUGGACAAUGGGGAAACCUGAUCCAUGCAUCCCGCGUGUACGUCAAGGCCUUCGGGUUGUAAAGCACUUUUGGCGGGGAAAGAAACGGCACGGGAUGACACCCGUGCAGCCUUCAACCUGCAGAAUAAGCGCGGCUAACUACGUGCCAGCAGCGCGGUAAUACGUAAGUUACGAAGCGUUAAUCGGAAUUACUGGGCGUAAAGCGUGCGCAGGCGGUUCGGAGAAGAUGUGAAAUCCCAGAGCUUAACUUUGGAACUGCAUUUUUAACUACCGAGCUACGUGUAUGGAGGGAGGUGGAAUUCCUGAUGUAGCAGUGAAAUGCGUAGAUAUGGAGAAGACACCGAUAGCGAAGGCAGCCUCCUGGGAUAACACUGACGCUCAUGCACGAAAGCGUGGGGAGCAAACAGGAUUAGAUACCCUGGUGAUCCACGCCCUAAACGAUGUCAACUAGCUGUUGGGGCCUUCAGGCCUUGGUAGCGCAACUAACGCGUGAAGUUGACCGCCUGGGAAGUACGGUCGCAAGAUUAAAACUCAAAGGAAUUGACGAGGACCCACUGGUGGAUGAUGUGGAUUAAUUCGAUGCAACGCGAAAACCAACACCUGCUGCUUGACAUGUCACCGGAAUCCCGAAGAGAUUUGGGAGUGCUCGCAAGAGGCCGGAACACAGGUGCUGCAUAGCUGUCGUCAGCAGCUCAUUAUUAGUGAGAUGUUGGGUUAAGUCCCGCAACGGCAGGCACUGUGCGCUAUCAUUGAGUUGCUACGAAGGGGCAUCUAAUGAGACUGCCGGUGACAAACCGGAGGAAGGUGGGGAUGACGUCAAGUCCUCGCGGCCCUUAUGGGUGAGGCUUCACACGUCAUACAAUGGUCGGGACAGAGGGUCGCCAACCCGCGAGGAGCCAAUCCCAGAAACCCGAUCGUAGUCGGAUCGCAGUCUGCUCGACUGCGUGAAGUCGGAAUCGCUAGUAAUCGCGGAUCAGCAUGUCGCGGUGAAUACGUUCCGUUCUUGUACCGCACACAUACGUCACACACCAUGGGAAUUGGGUUUUUACCGAAAUGAUUAGCCUAACCGUAAGGAGGCGAUUACCACGGUAGAGUUCAUGACUGGGUGAAGUCGUAACAAGGUAGCCCUGUUACUACCUAACAAUAUAACG
rnacentral:rRNA from 1 species